rnacentral:rRNA from 1 species
CCUACGGUAGGCAGCAGUGGGGAAUAUUGCACAAUGGGGGAAACCCUGAUGCAGCGACGCCGCGUGAGUGAAGAAGUAUUUCGGUAUGUAAAGCUCUAUCAGCAGGGAAGAAAAUGACGGUACCUGAUUAAGAAGCCCCGGCUAACUACGUGCCAGCAGCCGCGGGAAUACGUAGGGGGCAAGCGUUAUCCGGAUUUACUGGGUGUAAAGGGAGCGUAGACGGCAGAACAAGUCUGGAGGUAAAUGCCGGGGCUUAACCCCGGAACUGCUUUGGAAACUGGGCAGCUAGAGGUCAGGAGAGGUAAGUGGAAUUCCUAGUGUAGCGGGUAAAUGCGUAGAUAUUAGGAGGAACCCCAGUGGCGAAGGCGGCUUACUGGACUGUAACUGACGUUGAGGCUCGAAAGCGUGGGGAGCAAACAGGAUUAGAUACCCCAGUAGUC